rnacentral:lncRNA from 1 species
UUAACACUUGGGAGUCCACUGUUUUGGUAAGGUCCAGCUGUAAACAUCUGCUAUUACCUUUUCAAGUCAAUCAUUGUGUAACCUUCUUCUUUUGGAUUUUUUCCCCCUUCUUACAUUUCUGUUUUCUAGUUCAACGUGUUUAUUUUCAUGCAUCACGUAUUGUCUACACUUUUAAAUGGAGAUUAGGUUAAUAAAGUUUGUAGGAGGAAUACUACGGAAUCUUUUUAUAUCAUUUAGUUCAUGAUUCCAUCUUGAACAUGUCAUCUUUUGACCGUCCAGUCGGCUUGAGCACCGAUGGAUCUAGAGGCGGUUCUAGGUUCUGGAUCUGCGAUUGACGUUGACACGUGAAUCCGAUACGCGAUGUUCGGAUUUCGGGAAUCUUACCGACUGCGCCAAAAAUAUGAUUGCAAAUAAAUUGCAAAUAGGAAAAUAUAAGCAAACACAGGGUUUAACAUGACCCUAUGAAAGUGUAUUAUAGAAACUGUUAUAGUACAAUGCUUCAGUAUCGAGCGAACGGAUUUUACAGCUGACGAGUACGAAAGCGGAAAUUUUCGACAUUCCUUUAUCGCAAUUUAACUUUCAGAAUGCUCCUAGAUUCUAGAAUAUUCUGGAAUAUCAAAAAAUGUUAGAAAAACUCCGAAUGCUCCAAGAACAUUCUGUGAAUAUUCGGCUGGUGUCCAAAAGCAUGGAACAUUGAGUAAAUUUGCACUACACUUAGUGUGCUACCUGGGAGUCUUGGUACACGGGUGUGUUACUAUACUGCAAUGGUUGUAUUUCGUUUACCCAUCCGCGGAUAGUGGGAACUAUCAGUAUAUGUUCCUUCGGACAAAUAACCGAAAUAAACACAACGCUGAAAAACACGCGCUCAAAACUUUUAUCAGUUUACUCCGUAGAUUACCAGCAGUAAAAUCGCCUGC